rnacentral:rRNA from 1 species
GACGAACGCUGGCGGCGUGCUUAAUACAUGCAAGUCGAACGGAAAGGCCCUGCUUUUGUGGGGUUCUCGAGUGGCGAACGGGUGAGUAACACGUGAGUAACCUGCCCUUGACUUUGGGAUAACUCCAGGAAACUGGGGCUAAUACCGGAGAGGAGCUCCUGCUGCAUGGUGGGGGUUGGAAAGUUUCGGCGGUUGGGGAUGGACUCGCGGCUUAUCAGCUUGUUGGUGGGGUAGUGGCUUACCAAGGCUUUGACGGGUAGCCGACCUGAGAGGGUGACCGGCCUCAUUGGGACUGAGGUACGGCCCAGACUCCUACGGGCGGCAGCAGUGGGGAAUAUUGCACAAUGGGCGGGAGCCUGAUACAACAACGCCGCGUGCGGAAUGACCGCCUUCGGGUUGUAAACCGAUUUCGACUGUGACGAAGCGUGAGUGACGGUACUGGGUAAGGAAGCCCCGGCUAACUACGUG